GCCAGUGUCUCCACUUCACAUCAAACUCUGUCAGCGUCUGAGUGCCACCAGGCUGACGGAUCAUCACACAAAGAUCAAAAGGUUCAAGAGCUCUUCUAACCCAAAUCAAAAGGACAGCUCAGAUCACCAGUUUUUAUAUCCCAUCGCUGGUUGCCAGAGGCAGUCGAGACUGAAAGCAACAAACACAUAAACCUGAAGGCGGCAGGUCAGGAUUGAUCUGUAGUGCAGUUUAAGAUCAAAACGCCGCUCAUCAAACUCAUGAGGGCCUACUGCGAGAGA